UGUUUAUACAAAUACAUAUUCUUAUUUUUCCUCCUUUCUGACAUAAUAGGUAGCUGUGUACUCUGAAUGCUACUAUAUUCUGAGGGAUAUACUUUAGAAGGAAAAUCAUCCUAAAUAGUUCUGAGAUGAAAGAAGAAAUGACGAGCCAAGAAAGUGAUUCCCUUGGCUGCCUCCUCCUCUCCAAAGGUGUUGCCUACCUCCUGCUCCACACUGCUGUCACCUUUGUCUAGCUUCCUGAGCUGGCUGGAGUCCAAACUGAAGUGCAGCAAGCCUAUCUGACCUGAGUUGCCCCUCCACCUUCCACAGUUGGAUGCAAUGCCACAUCACUGAGCAUGACAUCUGGCUUCCUGAGCAUGAAGUUACCAAAGGACUGGAUGAUACUGUCCUGUGGGCAAACCAUGACCAACGGGAAACAGGAGAUGGAAGAAGCUAGGAAUAUUAAGUUAUCUCUCCUUCCUCCCUUCAACAAACUGCUCAGACUGGCAGUUUCUCCUUACAUACCUUCUGGAGAAGUUUUGCAUUCUACGUGAACACAUUUGCUGGGGGACUUCUGUCUUCACAGCUCGUCAUGAAGCCCCGCCACUGUGGUAACACAUUGUAUCACGUUCUUCCUUGCCUUACUUUCCCUUUUCUUCUCCACCCUCACCUCCCCAGAUCUGCAGUUCCCAAAUAAAGUAACCAUAUUUUCAUCUUG